rnacentral:rRNA from 1 species
UACGUAGGGAGCAAGCGUUGUCCGGAAUCAUUGGGCGUAAAGCGCGCGUAGGCGGCCCUGUAAGUCCGCUGUGAAAGUCAAAGGCUCAACCUUUGAAAGCCGGUGGAUACUGCAGGGCUAGAGUCCGGAAGAGGCGAGUGGAAUUCCUGGUGUAGCGGUGGAAUGCGCAGAUAUCAGGAGGAACACCAGUGGCGAAAGCGGCUUCCUGGACCAGAACUGACGAUCAGGCUCGAAAGCGUGGGGAGCAAACAGG